GACGUAGGGGGCGAGCGUUGUCCGGAUUUAUUGGGCGUAAAGCGUGCGUAGGCGGCUGCGCAAGUCGGUUGUGAAACCCCGGGGCUCAACCCCGGAACUGCAUCCGAUACUGCGUGGCUAGAGGUAGGUAGGGGAGAUCGGAAUUCCUGGUGUAGCGGUGAAAUGCGCAGAUAUCAGGAGGAACACCGGUGGCGAAGGCGGAUCUCUGGGCCUUACCUGACGCUCAGGCACGAAAGCUAGGGGAGCAAACAGG
rnacentral:rRNA from 1 species